GGCGGCGUAUCCGAACUGGCACAGGAGGGGGUCUUAAAAACCCCUAGGUCGCAAGACCUGUCUGGGUUCGAAUCCCAGCGCCGCUACCA
rnacentral:tRNA from 1 species